rnacentral:lncRNA from 1 species
GAAAGAGACUCUUCCAUGGAGAAAGACAACAUGUGGCAGAUAAAUAAAAGGAGCUUGAGGUGAUUGUAUUCCUGCACACAGAGCCCCUCAGAAGAAUUCUUGGUUUGAAUGCCAGUCUCGUCUGCGAGGAGGAGUGUGGAGCUGCGCUAUGAAAGAUCGCACGGAGCCCAGAGCAUGUGGAAGGGGAGUGUCUUUGGGUUGAUUUUAAAUGCCGGUCCUGAAAGCUUUGUGGUUGGUGAUUUUCUGCUGCUGAGAUGCACCAAACAGGCAGGGGCAUUUGUGGUCUGGACACAGGGAGAAUUGCCCCAGAGUAGAACUGUUUGUCUGUCAUGGGGGGUGGAAACUUUUGUGGCCAGCUUUCUGGGACAUCAGAUGAGGUCA